rnacentral:lncRNA from 1 species
CCGCCAAUAACUCCUCCAUCGUGUUACUCGAGAGGUGUACAGGAAGACUAAGAAUAGGUAAAGGAUCCAAAUCAGCUGAUUAUUGAAUGGAGGCAAAUUUCAUUGUUUUGAUGUUGAAUUGAAGGAACUCGAAGAAUUGAAUUAACCAGCCUAAAGCCAAAAGAUCGGAUGCUUUCCGAGGAAACCCUGGCUGUGAUAAACUCUAGGGU